CAUAACCGCUAGGGGCGUCAUUCUGUACUGAGAGUUUCGCAUAAGCGCAACAACCCUUGGAACCUGACCCGGAUCAUACCGGCGUAGGGAAGCGGUGUCGCAAGGCA
rnacentral:ncRNA from 2 species